UAGGGUGUUUUCCAAUGAGUCAGCUAUUCUCAUCAGGUGGCCAAAGUAUUGCAGCUUCAGCAUCAGUCCUUCCAGUGAGUAUUCAGAGUAUUCAGUAUUCAUUUCCUUUAGGAGGGGCAGAGUAGUUCUUCUUAGUGUCCGAGGGAUUCUAAAGGGUCAUCUCUCUAGCACCACAAUUCGAAAGCAUCACUCAGCCUUCCUAAUGAUCCAACUCACACAUCUGUACACGACUACUGGAAAAACCACCGUUUUGACUCUGCAGACCUUUGUCAGCGAAGUGACGUCUCUGCUUUUAAAUAUGUGGUCUAGGUUCGUCAUGGGUUUCCCCGGGGGCUCAGUGGUAGAGAAUCUGUCUGCAGUGCAGGGGAAUUCGGACACCUGGGUUCAAUCCCUGGGUCGGGAAGGUUCCCUGGAGGAGGCCAUGGCAAUCCACUCCAGUAUUCUCGCCUGGAGAAUCCCCUGGACAGAGGAGCCGGGUGGGCCUUGGUCCAUGGGGUCGUAAAGAGUAUCCUGAGAGACAUCACCUCCCAAACAGAAUCUCUGGCCAAUGGGCUGUCUCUCUAGCUUUACUCAUCUCAAGUAAAAUCUGUUCCCUGGCCUCAGAAGCCAUGUGAGAUCACGAAGGAAACUUGAGGCAGUGGUGCUUUAAGCAGCGAUUUGGUGCGAGAUCUUUAUUCGUGUGGGCCAAGUGACUGCGGGGAAUGAAAUGGGGCAGGGUGAUGAAGGAAAUGAGAUGAUGAAUUUAUUGCCCCGGCCACCUCCCUGCCCCCAGGUAGCCGACUUCAGUAGGGCUGGCUGGUGUCAAUGGCGCGUAUAUAGGCUCACUUGGAACAACAUCCUGUGUGUGGUGUGAGGAACGUGGUGGGCAAAUCAGACAGCAUGGCCAAACAUUCUUUCUCAGAGUGGAUGGAGGGAGACGAGAGAAAAGAAUGAUGAACCAUGGGUUAGUUGUGAGUCAGUUUCUAAAAUCUCAGUAUUUCUUCACAAGGGGUGUGUGUGUGAAUUCUUUUCUUUAUCUGAGAAUUGGCUUUCUAGGUGAGGAAAUUUCGUGAGAGACUCCUUGUGACAUGUGGCAAGAGGUUGGGAGUGAAUUGGGUUAAGGUCAUUUUCCACGUGUUUCACACCAAAUGUUUGUUUAAGGGGAUAGCAGUGGCCUUAAAGAACUGAACUAAGUGGUUGAAAUAAAGGUUUCAGUUCCUGAAAUGUGAAGAGACUCUGGGAUGUGUGUUCAUCCUAGCCAGUAGUCACAGGCAACUCAUAAACUCAUAGGAUUUGAACCGUGUCUUCCUAAUGGCUUUUGCUUUCUGCCCUUGAAUGUGGUGGAGGCCUCAGUUCCGGUGACUAAAGUUCCUAAGUAACAGUUCUCUGAGAAAAGUAGCUGUCUAGAAAAGAGCAGUGCCUGGGAAGCUGAUCUAAAAUUUUAAUAUAGCCUGUGAUGUAAUUUUUAUUAGCUUCACCCAGGAUAUGAUCAUUCAAAGAAUCUAGAGAGAUGCACCUACUUCGGUAUCUACCAUUGGAUUUUUCAAAUGAACAUACCGUAAGAUUGGCCCAGUUUUCUUUCUUAUUAUUUAUCUAUUUAUUGUUGGCUGCACUGAGUCUUUGUUGCUGCACGAGGCUUUCUCUAGUUGUGGAGAAGGAGGACUACUCUCUAGUGGCGGUGCAUGCGCUUCUCAUUUCAGAGAGUUUUCUUGUUGCAGAGCAUGGACUCUAGGCUCGGUGCAUGCGCUUCUCAUUUCAGAGACUUCUCUUGUUGCAGAGCAUGGACUCUAGGCUCGAGGGCUUCAGUAGUCGAAGCAGGUGGGUUCAGUAGUGACACACAGUCUUAGUUGCCCUGGGACAGGUGGAAUCUUCCUGAACUAGGGACCGAACGCCUGCCCCGUUGCAUUGGCAGACUAAUAGGCCAUAUGAGCGCAGGUUUAUUUCUGACAGAGCAUCCCCAACUGUACCCUGCGUAAAGGCUGGGGUGAAGUGAGAAGACCCGGUGACUUCAAUGUCCGUCCACAGCUGGUGGCACACCAAGUCUGGAUAAGGGUAUGCUAUUUUCUGUUCUCCAAACCAAAGAGACCAGGAUGCCAGUUCCAAAAGAAUCAUCAGGACUGUUGACUAGAAGACAGAAUGGAGAAUUGGAAUGAUCUUCACAGGUGAGUAUUCACGUUGCGGUCAAGGGAGAGUGGUGGUUUCAAAGCAGCAUUGGAGUUCCAGGAAGACCUUCCUCUCCCUCUUAGCCCCACUGUACCUCUGUGACCCAUGGUCACAGGAAGAUCAGGGUGGUGGUGGGGACAUGGGUUGCUGAGAUGACAGUCUCAAUGUAUGCGCCUCAGAUUCCAUGGACACUUUAGUGUAUUUGUUCUCCCUGGAUGAUCUGAUCUUCCUCAUGAAUGUUCACCCUUCAUACUGGUUAGUAACCAGAAAACUCCUACUGAAGUUACUUCUAACAUGGAAAGUGUGGUUGCAUGCAACCUACUGAAUAUCCAUAGAUACAAAUGCUCAGUCUAUUGUGGUGAAAAUGCUCUCUACUUCUUUCAGCCAUGGAGCAGGGGUAUGUGUCACUUACAAGGCUUGCGGUAAUGUGGGAGGGGUAUUCUAUACCGCGGCAUACCUUUGUUCCUCACAGUGGCCUCAGCGGUCCCUGAGGGAAAGAUGACUGUCCUCUCCUGGCUCCAGCUGUUGAUGCUGACCUGCACCGCCCGUGGGUUGGGGUGGUGAAACUUGCAUUUCUGUCUCCCUCCUCUUGCUGUGGAUCCAAUGCUCCCUGGCUGACUGAGCCUCAGCCACUCUGCUGGCAUCUGCAGACCCCUCUGAAUCUGGGUCUCAUCGUCCAGCCCAUCCCUGGGCAGGGAUGUCCACUCCUCAGCCUCAAUUGCAAGGUCUCCUAGCCCAUUGCCUGCUUAGGUUUCGUCUGGAUUCUGUCCCUUUCCACAUUUCUCCCUCAGUUGAUUCAGAGCCCUCCCUUGGAUCUCACCUGCAGCAAAACAGGCACCAAGAUCAGCUCCAGAAAACGAAAUUCCUAAAUGACAGCCACCCAUCUGCCCAAAGACAACAUUGGGUCAUUGCGCAGUGUGCGCCCUGUGAGUCCCAAGUGUGAAUGGGGUGGAAUCCUCCUUUCCCUGGUCUUCCUCUUCAUUUCUUGUCACACCUCCCUGUCUGAACCCUCUCACCUCUGCCUGCCACUGCUUCUGUGGGCCGUUCCCCACUGUGAGUGGGAUGCUCUUUUCUUUGGCUUGUCUUUCAUUUGACCCAAGACUUCCCAUACAAUAUCCAGGUCAAAGUGGGCAUAGGCCAGAGUGGCCCGCCUGCUCCACGUCAUCGGAGAGCUCGGCCACGAAGAGCCAGGAGGAAAUGGGCCCUCGGCCCAGACACCCCUGGGGGCAGCGCUCUGGUCACCCGCGGUGGGGAGUGGGAACGCAGCUGCGCCCGGGGAAAACCCGGCCUAAGCUGUGGUGAAGGGCUGGCUGCCGGCAGAGGGCCUGGGAGGCCAGCCAAGCCUGCACCUGGAGCUUGUACCCUACAAAACACUCACUGCCUCUCUUCUGCCUGCUCAGACCCAGGCCUGAGAGGCAGGCAUAGGCGGGGUGGGCCUCUCCAGCCGGAGGCUCUCCUGCAUGUGCAGGAGGGGGUUCCCCAUCGCUCUAGUCAGCCCAGCCACGACCCAGGUCUCUGCAGGGCUCUUGAGGCCCCGCAGGGAUGUCUCACUGGCCCCAACACCCAGCGCCACUGACACGGCCACGGUCCGUCUUGCCGAUCUGAACCAUCCUUCCUCCUGGCCACACGCUGGCACAGCCCCCCGCCGGUGACGGUGCCUGGGCCUCCUUUCCUGUGGCCCUUUUCUCCCAAGAGCCUUCACUUUACAUUCUCCCUGGGCCGUGGAGGGGAGGGGUGCAGGUGACCCCGGGGCCGGGUGGGGGCGAGGAGGCAUAGUCAUUGCUCGGCAGCAGCUGGCACAUGACCCCCACCCAUCCCCGUGCCCACCCCAAGGCCCACACUCACUCCUUGGUUUGGGGCCACUCUCCUGCCCUUCCUUCUCCACGGCCUGCUGGACCCACCAGCCUGUUUACAUCCUUCCCACGGGGCUCUUGUGCAGAGCGGCAGGAGGGAACGCUUGUCCAGUGAGAAGACGCUUCCUACGCCAAGACGUGUGAGGGCCAGGAGAUUUCCCGAGGGCAGAGGUGGUCUCCGACCAUCCUAAGUGGUUUUGAGAGACUGAGAUGCUCACAGAGAUCCUGCCAGAUUCCACGGUCAAGUUGCCCUAUGGGUUAUCCUGGGCUGGCCGCCAGCGCCUCGGGCCACCCUGCCCACAGGAAACCAGCCCCUCGGGAAGUGCGGGGUGGGACUCUGAACAUUACGCAUGAACGGCUGUGGCCGGGAGGAACAUUACGCAUGAACAGCUGUGGCCGGGAGGUUCCCUUCCGUCUCCCCUGUCCCUCCAAGGCCUCUUACCCUGAGACAAGGCUCCCGGUGGGGAUCCUCUAGCGUCUGCCCGGCUGUCUCCUCAGGCUCACCACCCAUCCAUCCCUGACCUGUAGAUUUAGUCUGUAACAGCGGCUGUGGGCACAGAGCAUGGUGGUCAUUUAUAAAAGCCUUGUCGUACUUUGUGGGGUUUUUUUUUUUAUUGUUAUUAUUAUUAUUUAACUGCUGCUUGUCUGUCUGAAGUCUGUGGCCACAGGGGAGCGGGCUGGCGUCUGAGCCGUUUAGGGGAGCUGCCUCGGGCUGGGAGGGGGUAGUGGGCCGGCUGGAACACCGCGGUUUUCCUCGGGGACGAGAGCAGGCGGGUACCUCCUGGAGAUGGACAGGCGGAGAGGACGGGGCCCUCCGAAGGGUCCUGAGCCCGAGUGGAAGAAGGACUCUGACAUCCGUGCUCAGGGCGCGCGCCCACAGCGGAGGCGACUGUGAUGUGUGAGUGGACGAGCUGAGGGCUUGUCCAGUUAAGGAAGCCCCUGACCUCCACGAGAGCAGGGCCCUGCUGGGAUCGUUGGGUUAGAAGCGCCCCUGACGGGCGCUGGGCGGAAGCACCUGGCCAGUGACCCUCGGCGAGGCUGCACCGGCGGCCCUUGGCGGGUGCACGCGGACCACCUCGCUGACGUGCUCGCUGCCCCUCCUGGGCCCCGGGGGCUCUGCCAUCUGCUGUCCCUGCUGGGCGGCCCCCGCGGCCUUAGGUAACACUUCCUGAGUGACUGCCUUCUGAGUCCUGGGGACAGGCCUCUCUCUCUCCCCCUCUUUCCUCUUUUGAAUCCAAACAGCACAUCCUGAGGCUGACAACCGGCGACAGCGCUGUCGCCCGCUGACAGGGCUGAGGCCCGGCGGCCCCCGGAGGGGGCGGCCUUGGUGGGGGGACCCCCGCUGCCCCAGGGCCAGGCCGGCCCCUCUGGGCUUCCAGGGAAGCUCCAUCGGUUUUCAAAGACAUCAAACCACCCCCCCCCCUCCCGUGGGGCCUCCUGUCAGGGCCAGACCAGGGAAGGCUAUUUGCUAUUCUGGCGGACUGUUGUAAUUUAAAUGAUUGUUUUAAUAAAAAUUCUCAACUGUUAAAAAAAAUAAAAUAAAACAAAGUGGGCAUAGGGUAGAAUGUGUACCUUCUCAAGUACAGUUAGGAUACUUUGGUGUCACAUAAGCCCCACACCCCUGAAAUAUAAAAACAGGGAUAAAGAACACAAGAGUCAAAGAUGCCAGAGAUGUUGGCUAAGAUGAGCACUGAAGAGUGUCUGCGGGAUCAGGAAGAAUGGAUUUCAAUGAUGGACUUGGCAAGGCCAGUUACAGUGGAGUGACUGGGACAAAAGCUUCAUGGAAGGGGGCUGAAUAAAGAAUACCUCAGCAGAAUUUGAAGCAGUUUUGUUUUGAAGGGCAACGGGUGAUGUGCCAGUAGCUGCAGAAUAGGGUGGUAGAAGAGGAUGGGUUUCCCUCUUUUUUGUGGAAUGCUGCGAUGUAGAGGGAGCAGGUCCUGGUUCAGGCGAGAGGGGUGAUAACUGUAGGUUGGAAGUCCCUGGGAAGGUGCAAGGCAUGGGAUCCCGGCAGAGGUGAGGGGCUGGGUGCAGUCAGGAGCACUCGGGCAGAUGGGCAGCAGACUGCCAGGGCAGAAACAUGCACUUUGGGAUUGGGAGACUUGAGAAAUCCCACGGGAUUGCUUCUUUCUUCUCCACGAACUAUUUUCGGUUGGGGCUGGUGGUCAUUAGGAUCGAGAAAGGUUACUACUGUGUAGUGUAGUAGUGUAGGUAGGUGAGAGUGAAAAGAACAGUAGUUCUACUCUGGCCACGGGUUUAAGAUAAGACACUUCUGUAAAGUUUGUAAAGCUGGGUGCUCAACGCUCAGGUGCUCAGACACAGGCAGGGAGUGAGUAGUCAGGAGUGUGCAAGGAGCACAAGAGGUUUGUUUGUGGGGGACAACUUCCAACCCUGGCUCAGCGGAUCGGAUCAGGGCGGGGCCUGGCGGAUGGUAAUGGAAGGACGUGUGGUAGUGGAGGUGAGGGUUUCCAGGAUGUUCUGGUAUCCGUGCACUGGCACUAGAGCUAGGGAGCUGGAGGACAGGACAUCAUGUUGAGGGGGAUGAGAGGGAAGAAGGCUAGAAACAGCAGACCAUGAGGGGCGCGGUCUUUCCUGAUGCCCGGGGCCGGGGUCGGUGGCGGGGAGACCGUGGGCAGGGGGAUGCUCGGGUAGGGAGGAGGGGAACAUCGACGAGGACGGAGAGUCUCCGGGGUGACCGUGGGAGCCUCGUGGGCACUGAGGACGAUCAGAAGAGUGAGGGCUGAGAGAACACAGAGGUCUACUGUCCAGGAUCAGCUGUACUCCAGGAAACCAGACAACCAAAGAUACCUUCCUUUUUAAAUUACUAUACACUGCCACUGGACGAUUCAGGAGAUAAAAGUUUUCAAACACAUUGCACACCAAGGCAGGACUCAAGGAGACUAUUAAAAGGAUGUACUUAUGCCUAUGUCACAUCAAGAUCUAACUCACACACUCUUGAGAAAGAACACCUGUGAUGAUUUCAAUAUGGGAAACAUUUCCCCUGAAAGUACUUCAUUAUUUUGUCUCACUUUGUGACGUGGGACAGGAGGCAUGGAGGAAGGUGAUGCCAAGGAAAGAGCCUACUUCUGAACCUGGUGAACACCGAUUUGAGCCCAGUUAUCCUGUUCAUCGACUGAUGUCCACAGGAUGUUUCGAUAUUGUUUUAAAAAUGCCAAUCGGCAAGGAGAGAAAGAGAAAUACGUCACAUAUAGACUGUCCAUUCUGUUCAUGGGGUUCUCAAGUACGUCAAGG